rnacentral:rRNA from 1 species
UGCAAGUCGAACGAUGAAGCCUAGCUUGCUGGGUGGAUUAGUGGCGAACGGGUGAGUAACACGUGAGUAACCUGCCCUUGACUCUGGGAUAAGCGCUGGAAACGGCGUCUAAUACCGGAUAUGACCUGCCCCGGCAUCGGGUGUGGGUGGAAAGUUUUUCGGUCAAGGAUGGACUCGCGGCCUAUCAGCUUGUUGGUGAGGUAAUGGCUCACCAAGGCGACGACGGGUAGCCGGCCUGAGAGGGUGACCGGCCACACUGGGACUGAGACACGGCCCAGACUCCUACGGGAGGCAGCAGUGGGGAAUAUUGCACAAUGGGCGAAAGCCUGAUGCAGCAACGCCGCGUGGGGGAUGACGGCCUUCGGGUUGUAAACCUCUUUUAGUAGGGAAGAAGGGCUUCGGCUUGACGGUACCUGCAGAAAAAGCACCGGCUAACUACGUGCCAGCAGCCGCGGUAAUACGUAGGGUGCAAGCGUUGUCCGGAAUUAUUGGGCGUAAAGAGCUCGUAGGCGGUUUGUCGCGUCUGCUGUGAAAACCCGAGGCUCAACCUCGGGCCUGCAGUGGGUACGGGCAGACUAGAGUGCGGUAGGGGAGAAUGGAAUUCCUGGUGUAGCGGUGGAAUGCGCAGAUAUCAGGAGGAACACCGAUGGCGAAGGCAGUUCUCUGGGCCGUUACUGACGCUGAGGAGCGAAAGCGUGGGGAGCGAACAGGAUUAGAUACCCUGGUAGUCCACGCCGUAAACGUUGGGAACUAGAUGUGGGGGCCUUUCCACGGUCUCCGUGUCGCAGCUAACGCAUUAAGUUCCCCGCCUGGGGAGUACGGCCGCAAGGCUAAAACUCAAAGGAAUUGACGGGGGCCCGCACAAGCGGCGGAGCAUGCGGAUUAAUUCGAUGCAACGCGAAGAACCUUACCAAGGCUUGACAUAUACCGGAAACUUCCAGAGAUGGUUGCCCCGCAAGGUCGGUAUACAGGUGGUGCAUGGUUGUCGUCAGCUCGUGUCGUGAGAUGUUGGGUUAAGUCCCGCAACGAGCGCAACCCUCGUUCUAUGUUGCCAGCACGUGAUGGUGGGAACUCAUAGGAGACUGCCGGGGUCAACUCGGAGGAAGGUGGGGAUGACGUCAAAUCAUCAUGCCCCUUAUGUCUUGGGCUUCACGCAUGCUACAAUGGCCGGUACAAAGGGCUGCGAUACCGUAAGGUGGAGCGAAUCCCAAAAAGCCGGUCUCAGUUCGGAUUGAGGUCUGCAACUCGACCUCAUGAAGUCGGAGUCGCUAGUAAUCGCAGAUCAGCAACGCUGCGGUGAAUACGUUCCCGGGCCUUGUACACACCGCCCGUCAAGUCAUGAAAGUCGGUAACACCCGAAGCCAGUGGCCUAACCGUAAGGA